rnacentral:lncRNA from 1 species
AAGAGAGCAUAUUGUACUGCCUGUGAGCCCAUGAGGAGGUACAAGGUGAGGCAUGAGCCCAGGCCCAUCUUCUUGUGGUAAAUUGGGAGGAUCCUUGUUUGUUUCCAGAGAGACUUCAACCCCAUGGUCCAGGCUCCUAGAAGGGAAGGGUGAAAGGGCCAUACUCCCAUGUGGACCAAAAGGUCUGGUUGAGGGGCUAGGACAAUGAACCCAUUGGUGAUGGGAGUGUGGUCUCCAAACCCCUGUCACUCAUGCCUCCCCCUCCCCAAAGACACUUCCCCCCAUCAAGAACAAGCAGUCUCUCAACUGGCCUGCCAGUUGGAACCUGAAGAUCACAAAGGAGGAGACAUCCUGGCCAUGCCCCCAGCCUCCCGCGACAGGCAUGCUGUGCCUGAGCCUCAGUGCCCGAGCCCAUCCCACUGACUACUUCUUGGACAACUUCUUCUCAGAGUUCUCCUGCCACUUCUUGCACAGGUGACAUCUUGGGAAGGAAGGUCCCCUCUCCUACUCCUGAACAGGGGCUCCCCACACCCAAGCUUUGGCAGGAGCUGGAGCAAGUACAGGGGCAGCAGGAUUCAAGAUGUACCCCGAGUGCUUGGGCCCUUAUGAUGAGGGGACAAAGCAACCAGAGCCCUGGGGAACCCACCUAUGCCUCCCGCCCUUCCUUGUUCCAUCCUUUGCCAACUCAGAGCUCUAGGCCCUGCCCCGCCCCAAAGGUUGGGCUUGGCAGGAGCACUACAUUUGUAUUAUAGCUCCAACAUAUCAAUGUCCUCACAGCUAUGGGCAGCUACCACCAUGGCUUAUCCACCCCAUCCCAGCAUGGUGGCUUGCCCAGGCCACUCAGAUUGUUAUGGCCUGCCCCAGGGAGCUGCCAGAGAGGAAGACUCCCAGGGAAGAGUCAGAGGCUUCUGAAGAAGAAUUCCCUAACAAGGGGACACUUGUCUACAAGCAGAAGAAGCAGCUCCUGGUUGACUGCCUUACCAACAUCAUCAGGGGCAUGCUGGAAGACAAGAACUUCCACAAAGCUGUGGACCAAAUCCUGGUGGAGAAGGUGCCUUACUUCUGCCAGUUCUGGAAUGAGCAGUCAGCCAGGUUCAUGGUCCAGAAGAGCAAUCUGUACUUAGUGCCAAACCUGUCUCCACCCUCCAGCACCUGUGAAGAGGAGAAAAGCAAAGAGCAGGAGAAGGACAGACAGGGGCUGGGGGAGGAGGACAAACGGGGGCUGGGGGAAGAGGACAAACGGGGGUUGGGGGAGGAGGACAAACCUGGGUUGGGGGAGGAGGACAAACAGGGGUUGGGGAAGAAGGAAGGGGGAGAAGAGGAGGAGAAGAGCAAAGAGGAAGAGGAGGAGUUGGAGGAGGAAGAGGAAGAAGAGGAGACAGAAGAGGAGGAGUUGGGCAAAGAGGAGAUAGAGGAAGAGGAGAUAGAGGGAAAGGAAACAUCUGAGACCUGGAAGGAGAUUGAGCCCACAGUUCAGCCAGAGUUCCAAACCUCCCUGCAGUGGCAAUGGCGGCCGGACCUGAAGACCCUGGUGAAGGAGGAGCAAGAGCAUGAAAAUAAAGAGGCCAUUGGAAGGCUACCCGCUUUCGCCAACCUGCAGGAGGCGCUGCUAGAGAACAUGAUCCAGAACAUUCUGGUGGAGGCGAGCCGCGGGGAGGUGGUGCUCACCUCGCGGCCGCGCAUCAUCGCUCUGCCGCCGCUCAGCGUGCCCAGGAUGCCGACCCUAGACCCUCUGCUGCCCACGCAGCAAGAGGAGGUAACCGUCCCGGUGGCGCCACCUCCUCCCGACUCUUUGCUGGCUACCGUGCCCAGCCUCUCUGACAUGCCGACCUAGGUCCCGCCAAGCUCCCUCUCCACCGCCCUGCCAGUAAAGCAUCCAGCCCUUUUUCUCACUCUACCUGGAUUUUAUUUCCCCGAC